rnacentral:lncRNA from 1 species
UAAUGUUAUACAAUACAAUAGUCAUGAUAAAGACUAGAAAUUAAAAAGUUUAUUUGAAAACUACACCAGCCUGUGAAGCCUCAAAUAAGUACUAAUACAGAAAGAAAAUAAAAUACAAAAAAAAUCAUUGUAUAUUAUCCAGCCUCCUGGUAGGAAAGAGGCUCACCAAUAGCAAAAGUUAGGAAUCCUAAUGAAGCGCCUGAACACAUACUUGAGAGCCAGAACCUACAUCAUGAAACGAUGUGUGCCAAAGACGGUCAAUACAUGGAAUGUAUUGGUAUGUAAAACCAUUACAGAAGGGUAGUACAACGAGAGAUUAGAAGUAACAAUAAAAUUCAAAUUUAAGUGAAGGCAUCUGGAAAGGAACAAGAAUGUAAACUAAAUUUAUAAUUGACCAAGUAAAGUAGAUUUAAAUUCCUUUGAUUAUUUGUUGGAGAAAGUAGUGAAUCGUCGUAAACCCGCGCAUGGAGUCUGAUCUCGGCCCGAUCAGAUAAGCCGUCCUGUACCUUGCUGGGCAUAGGACGUGACAUGACAUAAUUUGCUAGAAAGUAUCCAUGGUUAUCCCCUUCUCGGGACAUGUGAAAGAAAAGAGAGGAUCCGACUUGCGGAAUAAUCUCUAUCCUAUGUCGGCAAACAUAGUUUCGGGCAUUUGUCAUUUCAACCUAUGUCUUCACAAUCAGCUAACUAACUCUCUUAUGCUCAUGAUGUUAUAUUAUUUAUAGUUCUUGAAAAAUGUUAGACUUGUCAGGAUCAUGCUCAUGGUUUAUUCAUUUUAGGCUCGUGUACAUAUGUUUGCCAUUUUAGGCUAAUGAUCAUGAAUUUUUCCUUUAUGACUCAUGCUUGGAAAAUCAACCUCGUUGGUAUCAUACCUCAUGAAUGAUUAUAGUCAUUAAGCAUUUUUUUGGAGUGUCAUGAAUAGUAAAGUGUUGUUACAUUAUAACAUGCCUUAUAACAAUAUUUCAUGACACAGCUUCCGCUGCACUUAAUGAAACUAAUGAACAACUUGAACUGUUCUAGUCAAGAUUUAGAAUUCAUAUCUACAAGUUGGAGUUCCCAGUUAUGAUGUCUUACGAAAACUAAUUAAAAUUUUAUAUCCUUUAGUUUAAGAAGAACCCCAACAAGUUUAUGUUAAAGAUCACAAAACAGAUGAAACUGUUGACUGUUUGGUUGUAGCAUCGAAGAGACUAGCUACCAUGGAGAGACUUCAGAAAUUUUGGGUAAAUGUACCACCUGAUUGAGUAUUCUAUGGCAUAGGUACUGAAUCUUUUGAUCACCAGUUCUUUUCUCUUCUUUUCUUCUCUAUUAUGUUACAUGGGAUAUGUUAAGAAUAUUGGCCUGGUUGGGGUACAAAUAAAUAUGGAAAUCUAACAAGACAAACUCUAGCGGACAUGCUCCUGGGCUAAGAAGAAAUUUGGCAGAGGUGCAAUAGUUAGCUGUGUGUUUGUGAUGGCGGUGUAUGCCAUAUGGCAGGAAAGUAACAAGCUCAAUUAUUAGGCUGGUCAUUUCCAUUAUGACAAGAGUUUGUCGAGAAAUUCAAGUUCUUGGUUUUUUUUUAGGCAAUGCAGUAGAAAGAUGGCUGUCUUGCAUGAGACUUAAAUGGGGUACCAAGAAGAGGAUGUUGCUCUUACUUACUGUUCAAGGUAUUUACUUAAUAAUAGAGUAGGAUAGAUUGGAAUUAGAGAUGUAACAUUAUAUAUUUUAUUGUCUGAAUGUUGCAGCAAGAGAACUAGCAGUCUACACUGGUUCUUGUUUUGUAUUUAUGCGCUUGGAAAAAGUAAAAAAGCAUAUUGAAACUACUAGGUCGGGGGCACUGGUGUAUCAACUAUGGACUGCUCGAAACUGGACGCUAUACAAAAACCAUGUUAUAGACAGAGAGACAAUCUUCCAACAAAUGAAGUCAAAGAAAGAGUAGAUAUGCUUAGAAGUUCAAAAGUGCUAGGAGAUGUCUGCUUCGGUCAACAGAUUAUGUAAUUAGUUCUCUUUGUUGAGACUUAAGUUCUUUAGUUUUUUUUCUUGGUAGAAAGUUGUUAUGCUCUUGUAACUUUCUUAUUUUUCUUUAAGUUUCUUUCUGUCAUUAUAAGUUCUAUUAAUUUGUUAUCGAUGAUAAGAACCAGAUACAAUCAAAACCACAUUUAACUAGUAAUUACACAUACUUAAUAAACUUACAGAGAUUUAGCAUGUCAACAUACAAUCUGGAAUGGGUAUCAGCUUAAGAGACAAAAGGGAACAAUGCUUCUAUCUAAAUAGGCUUUAAUGAUUUUCACAAAAAAAAAAAAUGAACAAGUAUUCUUGAUUUGAGGCGAUUUGUCAUAUUUCCAGAAAACUUAUUUAAGGAACUAGCAUGAUGGAUAAGGAUAAAGAAACUCCUAAUUUCCCCAACAAAUUAAUUAAAGAACCUAGACAUGUCAAGAGCAAUUUGAACUAUGAGAAACAAUAGAACUAGCAGAUGCAGAGAGAUAGUUCUACAUACCUCAAAGCAUUUGGAGAUCUUGAGAUCCGGAGAAAGGAUUAGACUUGUUUUCUUGAACCAAUUCCCUUAGAUUCUUGAGAGUUGAGUUUGACAAGAGAACUGGGAUUGCUGGAUGAUGAAAUAAUUUGUAAAAUUGCUGGAGAAUGUGGCGGUUUUUAAUGUGUGCAACUGAGGAAGAUAGACUGGUUGUAACUGAUGGAGUUUUUAAUGUGUGUAACUUAUGAAGAUAGAGAGAUUGUAGCUAAUGGAUUUUUUAAUGUGUGUAACUGAGUGUGAGAUGUUACACCUAACUCAACCUCAAAAGCUAGAUCAUGGGGUGAGGACUUAUCUUCAU